rnacentral:lncRNA from 1 species
AGGACUUUAAAUUUCAAUGUGAACAACGACUUCAAAUUUUAAUGUAAAUAAUGUCUUUUAUUUCAAUGUGAAGUUCAAUGUGAACAUGCUAUUUGGGAAAAGUUCCAAGUGAACAUUACUAGAUUAUUAUUGGUACUUGUAACUUAUUUGUUACUAUGUGACAUGUUUAUGACUUUGAAUUUCAAUGUGAACAAUGACUAAUUUUAUUUUAAUAUGAAUAUUCUAUUAGGAAAAAGUUCCAAAAGAACAUUAUUAGUUCAUUAUUGACUACUUAAUACUUGUUUGUUACUAUAAGAUAUGUUCCUGACUUCAAAUCGCUAUAUCAAUGAUGGCUAGCUUCUUUUUUCAAUGUUAUUGAAAUCAUCAUUGGAUACCUAGUAUGUAUUUAUUUGUAUAGAACAGUAUAUUAGUUUAUAUUAAUGUGGAUGAUGCUUUCUAUUUCAGAAAUUUAUUCAUUAA